GGAGAGAUGUCCGAGUGGUCGAUGGUGGCAGUCUUGAAAACUGCUGUGGGGAAACUCACCGGGGGUUCGAAUCCCUCUCUCUCCG
rnacentral:tRNA from 2 species